rnacentral:tRNA from 1 species
GGAAGCGUGCCGGAGUGGCUGAACGGCCAGGUCUCGAAAACCUUGGGCUCGCAAGGGCACGAGGGUUCGAAUCCCUCCGCUUCCG